rnacentral:rRNA from 1 species
GGGAAAGGAUGUGGAGUUGCUUAGACAACCAGGAGGUUGGCUUAGAAGCAGCCACCCUUGAAAGAGUGCGUAACAGCUCACUGGUCAAGUGAUUCUGCGCCGAUAAUGUAGCGGGGCUCAAGUACACCGCCGAAGUUGUGGCAAUGAUCUUUUUGGAUUGUUGGGUAGGGGAGCGUCGUGUGGCCGUUGAAGCUGCGGUGUAAACCAGUGGUGGAGGCUAUGCGAGUGAGAAUGCAGGCAUGAGUAGCGAAAGAUGAGUGAGAAACUCAUCCGCCGGAUGAUCAAGGGUUCCAGGGUCAAGUUAAUCUGCCCUGGGUUAGUCGGGGCCUAAGGCGAGGCCGACAGGCGUAGUCGAUGGAUAACGGGUUGAUAUUCCCGUACCGGUGAAGAACCGCCCAUACUGAUAUUGUGAUGCUAACCAUGCGAAGCAUGAUGUGCAGGCUUUUGUUUGUGUGUUGUGUGGGUUGUGGGACCCGAUCUUUGGAGGUAAACGUGUUAACAGGUGUGACGCAGGAAGGUAGCCAAGCCACGCGAUGGUUGUCGUGGUCUAAGCGUGUAGGGUUGUCGGUUGUUAAAUGCGCCGGCUGUGUGCCUGAGACGUGAUGGGACCCCGUUUUUGGGGGAUUUGGUGAUCCUAUGCUGCCGAGAAAAGCAUCGGCGUGAGGUUUUAGCCGCCCGUACCCUAAACCGACACAGGUGAUCAGGUAGAGAAUACUAAGGCGAUCGAGAGAAUCAUGGUUAAGGAACUCGGCAAAAUGCCCCCGUAACUUCGGGAGAAGGGGGACCUUGAGCGUGAUGGGCACUUGCUGUCUGGAGCGUGUAUGGGUCGCAGAGACCAGGGGGAAGCGACUGUUUAUCAAAAACACAGGUCCGUGCGAAGUCGUAAGACGAUGUAUACGGACUGACUCCUGCCCGGUGCUGGAAGGUUAAGAGGAUUGGUUAGCCUUUGUGGCGAAGCUGAGAAUUUAAGCCCCAGUAAACGGCGGUGGUAACUAUAACCAUCCUAAGGUAGCGAAAUUCCUUGUCGGGUAAGUUCCGACCUGCACGAAUGGAGUAACGACUUCCCUACUGUCUCAACCAUGAACUCGGCGAAAUUGCAGUACGAGUAAAGAUGCUCGUUUCGCGCAGCAGGACGGAAAGACCCCGUGACCUUUACUAUAGUUUGGUAUUGGUGUUUGGUUUGGCUUGUGUAGGAUAGGUGGGAGACUGUGAAGCAUGGACGCUAGUUUGUGUGGAGUCGUUGUUGAAAUACCACUCUGGUCAAUCUGGAUGUCUAACUUCGGGCCAUGAUCUGGUUCAGGGACAGUGCCUGAUGGGUAGUUUAACUGGGGCGGUUGCCUCCUAAAGUGUAACGGAGGCGCCCAAAGGUUCCCUCAGCCUGGUUGGCAAUCAGGUGUUGAGUGUAAGUGCACAAGGGAGCUUGACUGUGAGACUGGCAGGUCGAGCAGGGACGAAAGUCGGGACUAGUGAUCCGGCGGUACGUUGUGGAACGGCCGUCGCUCAACGGAUAAAAGGUACCUCGGGGAUAACAGGCUGAUCUUGCCCAAGAGUCCAUAUCGACGGCAUGGUUUGGCA